AAUAGAUACCCCGGUAGUCCACGCCGUAAACGAUGAGUGCUAAGUGUUAGAGGGUUUCCGCCCUUUAGUGCUGAAGUUAACGCAUUAAGCACUCCGCCUGGGGAGUACGGCCGCAAGGCUGAAACUCAAAGGAAUUGACGGGGGCCCGCACAAGCGGUGGAGCAUGUGGUUUAAUUCGAAGCAACGCGAAGAACCUUACCAGGUCUUGACAUCCUCUGACAACCCUAGAGAUAGGGCUUCUCCUUCGGGAGCAGAGUGACAGGUGGUGCAUGGUUGUCGUCAGCUCGUGUCGUGAGAUGUUGGGUUAAGUCCCGCAACGAGCGCAACCCUUGAUCUUAGUUGCCAUCAUUCAGUUGGGCACUCUAAGGUGACUGCCGGUGACAAACCGGAGGAAGGUGGGGAUGACGUCAAAUCAUCAUGCCCCUUAUGACCUGGGCUACACACGUGCUACAAUGGACGGUACAAAGAGCUGCAAGACCGCGAGGUGGAGCUAAUCUCAUAAAACCGUUCUCAGUUCGGA
rnacentral:rRNA from 1 species